rnacentral:lncRNA from 1 species
GGGGGAGAGGCCCUUACAAUGGCCCUUAUGUGCCCCCACAGCCAUGUUAGGAACAGGAGGAGAACCUCAUCCUAACAUGAGCAAAGUCGAAGGCCCGAUUAUUUAGAGAUCGAAUGGGGGAAGAGGCCCUUGCAACGGCCCUUACGUGCCCCCACAGUCCCAUUAGGAACAGGAGGAGAACCUCAUCCUAAUCUGAGCUGAAAUCGACUACGUCGGAAAUAGAAGGAUAAUCUCAUCCUGACAUAAACGAAGACCCGAUCAUUC